GAAAUGCGAUAAGUAGUGUGAAUUGCAGAAUUCAGUGAAUCAUCGAAUCUUUGAACGCACAUUGCGCCCCUUGGUAUUCCAUGGGGCAUGCCUGUUCGAGCGUCAUUUGUACCCUCAAGCUCUGCUUGGUGUUGGGUGUUUGUCCACUCCCUGGUGUUUGGACUCGCCUUAAAGCAAUUGGCAGCCAGUGUUUUGGUAUUGAAGCGCAGCACAUUUUGCGAUUCUAGCCUGAAAUACUAGCAUCCAGCAAGUCAUUUUUCACUUUUGACCUCGGAUCAGGUAGGGAUACCCGCUGAACUUAA
rnacentral:misc_RNA from 1 species